rnacentral:rRNA from 1 species
AUUGAACGCUGGCGGCAUGCCUUACACAUGCAAGUCGAACGGCAGCACGGGGGCAACCCUGGUGGCGAGUGGCGAACGGGUGAGUAACAUAUCGGAACGUGCCCUGGAGUGGGGGAUAACUAGUCGAAAGACUAGCUAAUACCGCAUACGAUCUACGGAUGAAAGUGGGGAUCGCAAGACCUCAUGCUCGUGGAGCGGCCGAUAUCUGAUUAGCAGUUGGUGGGGUAAGGCCUACCAAGGCAUCGAUCAGUAGCUGGUCUGAGAGGACGACCAGCCACACUGGGACUGAGACACGGCCCAGACUCCUACGGGAGGCAGCAGUGGGGAAUUUUGGACAAUGGGGCAACCCUGAUCCAGCAAUGCCGCGUGAGUGAAGAAGGCC